ACUCCUACGGGAGGCAGCAGUGGGGAAUCUUAGACAAUGGGCGAAAGCCUGAUCUAGCCAUGCCGCGUGAGUGACGAAGGCCUUAGGGUCGUAAAGCUCUUUCGCCAGAGAUGAUAAUGACAGUAUCUGGUAAAGAAACCCCGGCUAACUCCGUGCCAGCAGCCGCGGUAAUACGGAGGGGGUUAGCGUUGUUCGGAAUUACUGGGCGUAAAGCGCACGUAGGCGGAUUAGUAAGUUAGAGGUGAAAUCCCAGGGCUCAACCCUGGAACUGCCUUUAAUACUGCUAGUCUUGAGUUCGAGAGAGGUGAGUGGAAUUCCGAGUGUAGAGGUGAAAUUCGUAGAUAUUCGGAGGAACACCAGUGGCGAAGGCGGCUCACUGGCUCGAUACUGACGCUGAGGUGCGAAAGCGUGGGGAGCAAACAGGAUUAGAUACCCCAGUAGUCC
rnacentral:rRNA from 1 species